AUUGAACGCUGGCGGCAGGCUUAACACAUGCAAGUCGAACGAGUGGCGGACGGGUGCGUAAUGUCUGGGAAACUGCCCGAUGGAGGGGGAUAACUACUGGAAACGGUAGCUAAUACCGCAUACCAUAGGUUGUGCCCAGAUGGGAUUAGCUAGUAGGUGGGGGAACGGCUCACCUAGGAGACGAUCCCUAGCUGGUCUGAGAGGAUGACCGGCCACACUGGCACUGGGACACGGUCCAGACUCGUACGGGAGGCAGCAGGGGGGAAUAUGGCACAGUGGGCGCAAGCCUGAUGCAGCCAUGCCGCGUGGGGGAGGACGGCCUUCGGGUUGUAAACUCCUGUCGACAGGGACGCGGUACCUGUAUAAGAAGCACCGGCUAACUACGUGCCAGCAGCCGCGGUAAUUC
rnacentral:rRNA from 1 species